GAUGAGAGAAUUAGAAGGAGAAAAUUGAUCUUCAGAAAAGUGAAUUGGAGCUGCAGCUUUCCUGCUGUGGGAGAACCCAGGCUAUGUGGGACGUGUUCAGGCUUUUGUUGUUUUUGUUGUUGCCAUGAUAAAAGAAGAGCAGCAUUACAUGAAGGAAGUGCAGUUAAACCAGACUUGAGAAAUUCCAUGCUUUAAGAACAUGACAUCAAGAAAC
rnacentral:lncRNA from 1 species